AAGUAAUUAAUUAAGAACCACCUCAAAAUCUGCAGUUUUUUGUUCUUGUUUCUUAUAGGCUGAAGGGGAUGCUAAGGGAGAUAAAGCAAAGGUGAAGGACGAAGUAAGUCAUUCUCUCUUCAAGGGUCAAAGCCUUGGACUAGCAGAGGCCACUGGACUCGGUGAUUAACCGUAACCUGUGUCCUGAAUUUACACUCCUAUAAUCUAGAGCAAAUUGAUACCAAACUUUCAAAGCGACUUACCUGUCUUAUUUCUAACUUUCUCGUUGUCUUUAUAGCCACAGAGAAGAUCCGCGAGGUUGUCUGCUGUAAGUGUAUGCUUUUGAAUUUUCGUGCUUGUCUCUGAAACUAAAAAACAUCAAAAAACAAUUCCCUUUGCUUCCAUGAAUUAUGGUUAGUGCCUGGUUUUGAAUCAUUGCCUCUACUUGGGACUCUUGCCCCUUUGGGUUUUGCUGGUUCUGAAAUUCUGAUGCCUGUAGCCAAAGUGGGACAUUUGAGUGGGCUUCUGGAAAUCCAACAUUCUAGAAGAAAGCCAACCACAAAAACUUUUGAGGAGGAGGAGAAACUUCUCUACCCUUGGUACUUUUGGUUGGUUGUGGGUGGUUUUCUUCAGUCCAUUGUACUGAUGUUCACUUUUUCCUCUCUUCCUGCCAAAAAAAGAAACCUGCUCCUCCAAAGCCAGAGCCCAAGCCUAAAAAGGCCCCUGCAAAGAAGGGAGAGAAGGUACCCAAAGGGAAAAAGGGAAAAGCUGAUGCUGGCAAGGAGGGGAAUAACCCUGCAGAAAAUGGAGAUGCCAAAACAGACCAGGUAUAACUGCUGUUUCACCCUUUGUUAGAUUUGUUCAUUCAGUUAGUUGCUGAUAUCAAAAAUUUAAUUGCCCUUUUCUUGUAUCACUCCAAAUGUACCAUUUGGUCCAGUGUGCUUGUGGCUUUCCUGUUAACUUAAAUCCUGGAUUCUUGAAAUCUCUACUGUCAGCUGAAGGGCAUUGUGUUUUAUACUACAUGAAGUUUUCAAGCUAGGAGUAACCUCAGGUCUCUUAUUCUGGUGUUCUUCCUACCUCAAUUUUACAGUGAGGCCCAGAGGAGAGGUGACUUAGCAAAGUUACCUAGCAAGUCAUUCUCAGAAGAAAUACUGAGUCUCAGUACCUGAAACCUGAACUUUGGCCUGGGAGCAAAGUGAUGCUGUAGGUGGAAUGUGAACACAGAUAGUUUUGAAAUCUACGCAUUGCAUUAAUUUGUCUGUUUUCUUUUAGGCACAGAAAGCUGAAGGUGCUGGAGAUGCCAAGUGAAGUGUGUGCAUUUUUGAUAACUGUGUACUUCUGGUGACUGUACAGUUUGAAAUACUAUUUUUUAUCAAGUUUUAUAAAAAUGCAGAAUUUUGUUUUACUUUUUUUUUUUUUUUUAAAGCUAUGUUGUUAGCACACAGAACACUUCAUUGUUGUUUUUGGGGGAAGGGGCAUAUGUCACUAAUAGAAUGUCUCCAAAGCUGGAUUGAUGUGGA
rnacentral:sRNA from 1 species